UGUUGAUGAUUUCACGUUUGUUUUUGGAUUUGGACAGGUGUUUUCUUAAGUGGCUCGUCUCUCCUCUCUGUGUUCCGUUGUAGUUCAGUUGCCAUCCAACUAAGUUAAGGUGUCCUGCUCCAGCUCUUUUUAGAUUGGCUAACUCCUUUUUUAAUGUUCUUUUGCCAAGGUGCUUUAGGAGGGGGUUUAUAAGCUCUCUAUAUUUUCUCGUGUGCCAUUUGCGGACGUUGCCAUUGCUCUGCUUUGUGGGUUUGUAGGUCAGUUUUUGCGUCUCCCUAUCAUUAUACUUGUGCGUUUUUCUGUUUUUUUUUUUGUCCUUGUUUGUUUCCCUUGCUCUGGCUUUUUUUUCUUCUGGUACAUUUACGCUACUGUCUCUUUUGACUGUGCUUUUUUUUGUUUGUUUCUUUGAAAUUUUAUUGCCUGUGUUGUCUUCUGUUGCCUUGUGGUUUGGGCUGCCAGAAACAACAGGGAGAACAGGGGUAGGACUCUUUUUCUUUUCGUUUAGGUUUUGUGAGGCCUGUGUUUUGUUAGCUAUGGGUGUUAACCAAUAAUGUUAUGCACAUGAGAUGUCUGACAGUUUACUCCUUGACUUUCAUAUGUCCCUUCCAUCCUUCCUUUGCUCAGCGCUUGCUGUGGCUUACACAUUUGCGUGGCCUAUAUAUCUGUCAUCCGCGUUAGACUCUUGCUCUAAGCAUGGAAUAAGUGCAUUGCUUGGAAUUGAGUUUAUGUGUCCAACAUUCUUGAACAUGCUGACUAUAUAAAUAAUUAGUGUCUGACAUGGCUUUUUCAAAAUAAUUCAAGAUGGAUUUGGUGCGGUAACAUUUUGUGGAUUUGUAUGAUGAUGAUGAAGAUGAUUGUUAUUGAUUGAUUUCUGAAUUGUGAGUUUUCGUAUAUGUUUGUUUCAUUAGUUAUUAAGAUCUUGAAUGAGCAAGCAAACUGAGUAGUUGAUGUAUAGCUGGCAAAGUUCAAAGAAGGAAUCAUAUUUGAUAAAAUUGGGGAUUUGUUUCGUUGAAUAUGAAACUAAA